rnacentral:lncRNA from 1 species
AAACGGCCUUCCACAUAUAAUUCUCACCCCCCCCUUAAUUAUUCACUACCUUCCUUCGGUCCAGAAAUAUCUGAAUUUAGAAGCGUAAAAAAAAAAAAACAGCCGACAUUGAUGGAAAGGCGUCAUACUGACACCUUCCGUAAUUGCUGCUCGAUAGCCGCUUUGGAACGCGGCCCUGACCUGACCUGAUGAUCUGACCCGAUCUGACAGACGUAGAAGCGUCGCCGCGCCCUGCUGACCACGUGCACGCCUCGAGUGGCCACACGCACAAUGACGCACACACCGUAACUUCGCAGCAUAUCGGCGUGCGUGAGAUGCCUAAUCGUAAUAUUCGAGAGAAAGUAGCCCCGAGACUCCGCGGGAGUAAAAUAAAACCGCUUUCCAGACCGAUCGGUCCGAUUGUGAAAAUCGGCGGCGGGAGCCGUCACCAGCCGCGUCGCGCCAUUUUCGUUCCCGUCGUCAAAUGCUACGGGUGAAUGAUACGCGCGAGCGCGAUAUAUACGCGGGAUUUGAAUCAAUAUUUCUCAUUCGUCGUUUUACGCCUCUCGCAGCUCCGACGAGACCGCUCGAGCAGUCGCUUCUUGAUUUGUUGAUCGCAUUCUUCGACCUUCUCGCCGCGCAAACGUCCGAGAUUCGUCGAGUUAACUGAAAUUCCGUGAACGCUCGAAUUCCCGAGCGAAUCGGUUAAUUUCGAGAGACUCAUGAGUUUUCGCGGAAUUGCUCAUCGUAUAAACAUGCACGUAAGAUAACGACGAUUAUAAAGCGCGAGGCGCGAGGCGCUAGUCGCCAGCGGGAUUUAACGUCGCCGACGUAAUAACUCGCGUAGAUACCGGCAAAAUUGAAAAAUUAUCCAGUCGCGCGUUAUAAAAGUGCGCUUUCUACCAGGAACUGUUUAGAAGCUGGUUCACCGGAAUGGCUGGUGUGCCAGCUCGCACACGUGCUAAAUGUCACAAUGUUAGAACGUGCAACUCUUAACCGCGCGCACGCAGCAGUCGCGGCGCGUUGUCGGCCCGGUGCGAAAUUAUUUUAUAUACUAAAUAUUCUCUACGGGCUACGGGAGGAAGGGGGGGGGGAGAGAAAGAGAGAGACUCGCUCUUCUCAUCGCUCUUUAUCGUUAAAUGUUAGGCGAAACCGAAUGCGAAUGCGUGAAUCGGGACGUAAAUUUCGAAACGAAUUUCUUUCGGGAGGAUAAAGUUAAUCGCGAGUAUAAUGUAACUUUCUCGUCGCGAAUUUUUCAGCCUGCUCCUGUCCUCGUUUGCCCCGUCGCCGCCGCCUUUCCCCCAUCUUUUCUCCCUCGUGAAUUUAUCGUCCCGGUAGAAAUUUAUCAAAUUUAUGCGCUAACAUCCGCGUUCGACUGUUAUCGGUCUCUCCAGUCACUAAAAAUAUUUUAUUGCGCGCAACUAAAUGUUCAACUUGACGCCUUGACACGGCCUUUCGUGCCGUGUUGUCGACUGUCGCAAGUCUCACAGAGAGUUUUAAAUUAAAUUACAACCAGUGCUUAUAGAAUUCUCAUUUGUUCCGAACACAUGAAAUUUUACCCGUGAAAAUCUAGAGAGAGCGUGUGGUAAAUUCUCCGAAAGAAAAGAGAAAGAAGAGAGAAAAAAAAAACCGUAAAGAUGCACGUGCGGAAACAAAUAACCCCCCGUAAUACGGAUUAAUGGUGUCAGCUACAGCUACAGCUACAGCUUGGUAUCUCAUAAAUUACUCGCAAGUAUAAAAAUAUCCGGUUCAUACCGACGGCACUAGGUGUGCCGAUCUGUGUCGGCUAUCGCGCAAGUAACAAACAAAAAAAAAAAUUGCUGCAAUGGUAAAAAAACGCACGCUGUAUUAGCUGUAUUAGCCUCGAUAGAUGGCACAACGUGCAAAAAGCAGCGAGAGCUCGAGGAUGACAACGAACGAUGCAUGUAAUCGAAUAAUUCGGCAAUAAUCCGAGAGCCGUGUGUGCGCGUAGUGCAAGCGUAAAACAGUCAUCAGCCGGUCAGAGAGAGAAGAGAGCGAACAGGGAGGGGGAAAACGCGCGAGGCGAGUGAAGUACGGUUAGUUUCUCCCCGGAUGUUCGGUGGCCUCUUUCUCGAGCGAGCGGCCUUGCCAGGAAUGCGCAUUUUCUGCCGGUUCGCCGUCUCCUCCGGCUUCGAUUCGAAUCUAUAUGCGCGCGGACUUGCAGCGGCGACCACCUUUCACCCAUCGCGUCGUUCCAGGGGGAGAGGGGGGGAGAGAGAGAGAGAGACGGAGACGAUCCUCAUUAUUCGCGACGUACGAAGUCGUAUGGAGGUCUUAACGGGUGGCGAAGGUCUUGCGGAUGAGUGACGCAUCACAAUGUUAAACAAUACGACACUCGCGAGCGUUAGUCGGACGAGACAGUGGCUUAUCAGCGUGUGUUCUCCCCGUCGGGAUUAUUCGGAGUGUCUUCCGAUAUAUUUUCGGAUGUCGCGUGUCUCCCCGAAGGAAAGUAGAAUUACGACACUAGCGUUACGGCAAUUACAUAACGUCGCGUAAACGGAUAAUAACACGGUGGGAUUUGUACCUGCGUAAACUCGUUUAGCCGGUAGGACGGACAACAAGCCGGCUCCACCUACCCGAGGCGGCCGAGUUCUUCUAGCGCUAUUGUUAUCCGCUAACGUUUCCGUUAUAAUACCAUCACCGUUAAGCGCGUUACAGCGUAAACGGCUGUUUAACGUGCAUGCGUGACAUUGUUUCUACAAACGAACACACACACACACACACACACACAUACAUGUAUGCACAGGCACGGGCCGCAGGCUAGAAAUUUUAGAGAAAAAGAAAAGUGCCAUGUGGCAACGGUUUGACCUUUUUUUCUUUUUCACCCUAAAAAUAUGAAACAUGAAAGUUUGCUUUCGAAUAAAGAAUAAUUAUCGCACAAUGCCGAGAAACGUAUCUACCUCCGUUGUUUCUCAAUUAUACACAUGUCCCAUGUGUUGGAAAUCUGAAUACUCGUCUGAAUUCAAGGACCAAAGUAAUCAAAAUCUUCAGAGCUAGGUACAUGGCCUGGCAUUGAUCCUUUUGCCUCGGGCAAACAAUAAGUUUUGUUCGAAUAAUACAGAGCCGCUUGAGGCUAUUCUCAAGCUCUAUUGCUGCUUUCUAUAGAAUAUAAACUCAAAAAGAACGUAAAAACUGGCAGCAAAUAGGUUGCAGUUCAUUUCUUUCGAAAAGAGAAAAAUGAACUUGGGAACAUACGAAAAUAUCGACACAGAAUGGUCGGACGACUUUCAUCUAUUUCCUAUUAAAUUUAUUCUAUUGAAUUAUCCUAUUAAAUUUAUUGAGUUUAUAAAAGUUGCGAUUCUUUUAGCUUAUGUAACGAAUCGACACGAGUUUUAAUCGGCGAGGCGUGCUAAGCUAUGUCGAGAAAAAUUCGUGUCAGUAUCUGCGUCAUCAAAGAUCAACUGGAAAAAUUUUAUAGCGGCGUAGUGGUGUUAACAAAAGAAAAAGGUUGAUUGAAAGGAAGAAGUUAAAGAAUUUAUGAAUGUGCAAUGAUUGUGCGAAAAUAAAAAUAGAAAUAUCUAGUCGGUGUUUUGAAUGAAAGGACAUUUUGUUGGCAUAAAUCAAAUAAAAAUUUCUAUGUAUGACAGAUUAUAACGGAUCGAUCUGGAAACUAGCGAUUUGUGUGCUUGCCGAUUUCUCUCUCUCUCUCUCUCUCUCUCUCUCUCUCUCUCUCUCUCUCUCUCUCUCUUUCAUUUUUAUUCUAUUCUUUUUGAACGUUUUAGUGGAGUUGUUUGAUAUUUGAGAGACUCUUUUGACUUUAUCAGUCUAGGAUAUAUCUCUGAUGUUCCAAUAUAUUUUUAGUUAUACAUAUGUAUAUUAUAAAUAUUAAAUAUUAAUUUACAAUAUGAAGGACCAACUGUAUCGCCUCUUGCUAUCCACUCAAGGUGUAAAAUUUUGUAUUUUGUAUCAAUUAAUUUUUGGACGCUUGAGAGAGAGAGAGAGAGAGAGAGAGAGAGAGAGAGAGAGAGAGAGCGAGAGAGAGGACAUAUGUCCCAAGGCAUACAAAUAAAUGAUGCUUUCCUUUUUCCUUUCCUCUGAUAUUCCAAUAUAUUUUUAGUUAUACAUAUAUAUAUUAUAAACAUUAAAUGUGUUAAUUUACAAUAUGAAGGACCAAUUAUAUCGCCUCCUGCCAUCCAGUCAAGGUGUAAAAUUUUGCAUUUUGUAUCAAUUAAUUUUUGGACGCUUGAGAGAGAGGACAUAUCCCAAGGCAUAUGUUCAAAGACAAUAAAAAAUAACGCUUUGC